GACGAACGCUGGCGGCGUGCUUAACACAUGCAAGUCGAACGGAAAGGCCCUGCUUUUGUGGGGUGCUCGCGUGGCGAACGGGUGAGUAACACGUGAGUAACCUGCCCUUGACUUUGGGAUAACUUCAGGAAACUGGGGCUAAUACCGGAUAGGAGCUCCUGCUGCAUGGUGGGGGUUGGAAAGUUUCGGCGGUUGGGGAUGGACUCGCGGCUUAUCAGCUUGUUGGUGGGGUAGUGGCUUACCAAGGCUUUGACGGGUAGCCGGCCUGAGAGGGUGACCGGCCACAUUGGGACUGAGGUACGGCCCAGACUCCUACGGGAGGCAGCAGUGGGGAAUAUUGCACAAUGGGCGGAAGCCUGAUGCAGCAACGCCGCGUGCGGGAUGACGGCCUUCGGGUUGUAAACCGCUUUCGCCUGUGACGAAGCGUGAGUGACGGUAAUGGGUAAAGAAGCACCGGCUAACUACGUG
rnacentral:rRNA from 1 species